AUGUCUGAUCAAAGUGAUAGCCAAAACAUGUCAGAGCAGCAAGUAGUGAUGAGUGAGGGCACUAGUCCCUCCAGUUCAUCUGAUGAAGGCAGCAGGAGCACUCCUAGUAACUUGCCAAAGGCUGCCACGAGACAAAGGAAGAAGAGUACUUCAGAUUCCGAAGAUGAGGACUAUGUGGCAGAAGAAGAGGCCACUUCCAAGAGAGUUGAGCCAGCUCAAGGCACUAAGCCAGGCCUGAAAAUCAAAAGGCCAGCAGGCAGGCAGCCCAUGUCAAAAGCAAGAGCCUCAACUGAGAAGCCCACUCCUCAAGAGCCAGUUACUGUAGAAGGCAAGAAAAGAAAGGAAAGGGUGAAGAAGACUGUGGCUAGAGUGCUUGGCAAAGCUUCCAUCAUGGAAGAAGAAGAGGAAGAAGAGGUAGCUGCACCAGCACCCAAGGCACCCAAGCUAAUGGAAGAUGCCAUAAAAUCAGGGGGAGCUGCUUCCAAGGCCAAGUCGGCUCCAAAGCCAAAGCCUAAGAGAAAUACAAGGAGCAUUCCUGCAGCUGAAAAGAACAAGGCCCCAGUGCCUGAGACUGUUGCUGAAGAAGAGGAAGAAAAUGUCCUAAGGAAGCUAAAGCCCAAGAUCCCAGACCACAACGAUGCUCAUCGAGGACAUGAAGCUCAGGAGAGAUUCAGGGCUGAGAAAGUGGAGAGAAGCAGACCCAUAUGCUUCAAGAAGAAGGACUGCCGUGGACUACAGGUUUCACACCAAGGAGCAGCAGGAUUUUUAUGA
rnacentral:rRNA from 1 species